rfam:Desulfofustis glycolicus DSM 9705 genome assembly, contig: EJ46DRAFT_scaffold00052.52
GAUCUCGUGAGAGAUCGUCCGGAGGAAGCCGGAGUGCACAGUUAUGGGCCGACGAACAGAAAUGGCAUACAAGGCCGAGUUUCCGGGUAAGUCAGCACAACAAUGCAGCAAUUACAUCCGCCACGGUUAUCGCGUGGCGGUGGAUGCCGAC